AAAUUUUGCAGCUUAAACGAAUCGUAAAGUACUCCUUUGUUGUUUUUUUGGGUCUGUAGUUUUUUUUUUUUUAAAGCAAGUCUCAGCUUCUUUGAUUGGGUCAAGAUAUUCACGAUCCAAUCAAUUUUAUGAAAAUCAUAACUUGCGAAAUAGAAAUCGGCAGUAUCACUCGCCUGGAUCUGAUUAUAAUCAUGAUUAUCCAGGCCCUUAAUCUACUGGCACAAUCUUUUGAAAUUAGAUUUUGUUGUUGUUGUUUUGGGCAAACGCACUCUGUCCCAAGACCAUUAAUUCCAUGUUUUGGUGCAAUUUCUUCGUUUGCUAAAUUGAUCUGUACUCCAAUUUUAAUCAUGUCCUCGGGAUUAUUCUCUGUGAUCCCUAUAUGGGCACAUGAUUGGUUUACUAUACUUUGAUUCUUUCGAUACCAAAUAGUUUUACAUAAAUCGUUUUUUAGGAGUUAGUUUGUUAUUUGAAUUGAUAUGUUUAUAUCUUUGCAGAAGAAUAAAUCUUAUCUGGUGUACGAUUUAUGUGAUACAGUCACCAAGGACGGUAAUUGUUUUCGGAUUUAGGUUUAAUGAACGGCUUAGGAUUAAACUUGAAACAUCUAAUGAAUCUUUGAAUAGAUUAUGUGAGAACAUGCCUUGAAGAACAUUUGAUUUUGACCUUUCGAACGAAUAACUUAUAUAUCCAAAAAAAUUACUCAAUUCGUAUAUCCCGUAAUUUCCCAAUCUGAAGAUUAUAACCAAAAUCAAGAGGCACGUAUCUAAGACUAAAUGUGUCAUAACUCACUGAAAUUGUUGUUGAAGAAGAACAGAAGAUACUGAUGAUGAUGGAUAAAAAAACAAAAAGAAGAUACUAAUGAUGGAAGUCCUUCAGUUGAUGAACAUAAUACUGAAUUAUUGAUGAUGAAAGUCCUUCAAUUAGACGUUUGGCUUUCUAUCAUUUAGGCCCAUAUAUUCCGGGUAUGAAGCCGGAUCCUAUAGCCCGUUGGUAUUUGAACGGGUCAAGUACGGAUCAGAUACUAUGACAUAUUGCCACGGGUUUGGCGCUUUUUAGAAAGAUAAGAGAUGCAUUAGUCGGGACUCGGGCGGUAUCUUCGGCGCUAUAAUUUUAAUUGGGCUUUUAAUGGGCCUGAAUCUUUUGGGCAUAUUAUCCAUUUAUGUUUGGAAGGUGCAUCAACCUUUUUUGAAAGUAUACAUGCAGUAUAGUAUUCAUCGCAUUCUUGUUUUUUUAUUUUUUUUCCCUGUUGUCUAUUUGAAGUCGUU
rnacentral:sRNA from 1 species